GUGUUUUCUGACCACACGCAUGCUCCUGUGCACGUGCGCACGCCCUCAUCGCACAGCGGUGCAGUGGUGUCGUCGUCGUGGGAACGCGCCGUGACAACCUGCUGCUUUGGACUUUUCCAGCUGAAACCACAUUUCUUUGUGGAGGACUGUUGGGCUUAGUGCCCCCCCGCUUUCCUGAGCCUCCCCCUGCCUUCCUCCAGCGUCUCCUGGGAUCUUUCAGUGAAAACUCCUGGAGAAUCAUCUGGAAACUGGAAGGACUUUCGCUGAGCCCACCAUCCUCCUCUUGACCCACUUUGAAACUUCUGCACUGAAGGGAAACUUUCUCAAAUUUGACAGCGUUGGAGUCUGAGAUCGAUGUGGGCCUCGUUACAGCAGCACACCUGAAUGUGGAGCUACUGUUUGAAAUGAGAGUCAAACCCAUUCAGUCCUGAAAUGUUUACAUGUCCUCAUGUCUUAUUUUCUUGUACUAGUUUUUCUGUUUGAUCAGGACAGAGAAAGAAAACUCACGUUACUGUGUUUGGAGUCAAAUCAGCUCAAUGUGAAUGAAAAAAAA